CAUGACACUGAAGCGGGAAUGG
rnacentral:miRNA from 1 species